UCCAGGGUGACUUACAAUCGUAAGCAAAUACAUUUCAAGUGUUACAGUACAAGUAAUACAAUAAGAGCAAGAUAAAUACAAUGACUUUGGUUCAAGCAAGUACAAGUGUGACAAAAUACAAUUCAAUAAUACAGCAGAUAACAGUGAUAGUUACAUCGGGAUAUGAUUAACUACAAAAUACUACAGAUUAAACACUUGUGACAGAUUACAGUACUCUGAAGUUCAGGAUUAAAUGCAGUAAAAUAGGGGGCAGAUAAGAGCAAAUAAAGCGCAUUUAAGGAAGGGUGAUAGUGUCCCAGGUGAAAAACAGAGGUGUUCUACAGGUGCUGUCUGAAGAGGUGAGUCUUAAGGAGGUGCUGGAAUGUGGUCAGGGACUGGGCGGUCCUGAUAUCUGUAGGAAGGUCAUUCCACCACUGCGGAGCGAGGGUGGAGAAGGAGCGGGCUCUGGAGGCAGGGUAGCGUAGAGGAGGUAGAGCCAGUCUUCUAGUGCAGGCGGAGCGGAGAGGUCGAGUGGGGGUGUAGGGAGAGAUGAGGGUCUGGAGGUAGCUGGGUGCAGUCUGGUCAAGGCAUCUGUAGGCUAGUACUUGAACUGGAUGCGAGCGGUGAUCGGGAGCCAGUGGAGCGAGCGGAGUAGUGGAGUAGCAUGGGAGAAGUGAGGGAGAGAGAACACCAGGAGGGCAGCGGAGUUCUGGAUGAGCUGGAGCAGACGGGUGGCGGACGCAGGGAGGCCAGCCAGGAGGGAGUUGCAGUAGUCUACACAAAUUUGUACAUCAAAUUUAUUUUAUUAUUUAUUUUCUUUUUAUCCACCCAUUUUUGCAUUGUAUAAUUAAUGCUACUAAUAAAGAACUAACUUUUUCUGUACUUUAGCUGUGGAUAUUCAUCAGCCGUAUGGUAAACGGCACAAGACCAGCAUGUGGCCGAGAUCAGCAGCCACUACCACAAGACAGCUUUCCCUGAGAAUGCAGGAAAGAACUCAAAGUUUGUUUUGGUUUUUGGCGACUCGCAUGUGAGGAGGCUGGUAGAUGGUUACGUUCAGAUGCUCGAGGGUGACCUGCUCUUUGGAUACAGCAGCACUCCAGGCGCUUGUGCAGCUGCACUCCGUAAAGAGGUGCUGAAUGAAACCCUACCUGAAGAGCCGGACCUGGUGUGUCUUAUUGCACCAGGGAACAACCUCUCGAAAAAAAACAUCCAACAAGCAGGAAAGGAGUUUGCCAGCCUUAUCCCUUCAGCCCAGGGCACUGGAAUAAGGUAGUGGUAAUUGAUUUUCCAAACCGGCUGACAGUGGAGUUCCCGUAUCAAGACAUGUUGCUAGAAGAGUACCAUCGAGUUGCAGCCAGCAUGAAUGUAAGGUACCUCUCCGCUGUAGAUCACUUCCCUGCAAGGAGCUCUGACCUGUGGUGCCGUGACGGGGUGCAUCUAAGUGAUGACCAUGGAAUGCCCAUCUUUGCCCAACUGAUCUGGAGUGCAGCUUACUUUCAGCUGAACGUUCCACAGGGGAUCAAGACCACCCUGCUGCACCCAGACAUGCAUUCCGCAGAGUGACCCCACGGCUGGUGGUGAGAGGGACGCCAGCUGCACCACCAGAGAGACGAGAUCCUUACUCGUGGGCUGAGGUGACAAGAGGACAGAGUGAGAAGAUGUCGAAUAGUAAUUGCAGACGG